GUAUUCCUCGCUUCAGCGGUUCAUAUACUAAAAUUGGAACUAUACAGAGAAGAUUGGCAUGGCCCCUGCGUAAGAAUGAGAUGGAAAAUAGUGAAGCGUAAAUGUUGUUG